UGGAUAGAAAUAUGACGCCGUUUCGACCUGAGCGUUUCAAAGGCCCGGUUCGACCAGGCCGCACCGAGACACUGAACCAGCUUUCUGAUAUUCAUCCGCCCUGGAACCCGGAUUUAAAAAUCUCCUUUUCUCCCAAGACGCCGAAAUGGACGCCCAGCCUAAAAAACUACAAACUUCUGCGGAUUCACCUGAAAUCGUCUCGGUGUUGAUUGGGCCUCCUAGUCUGGCGCCUAAACACACCUGCUGAGAAUCAGGUGGAGUGGGCGAACAGGCCGCGGGACCGCCAUGUUUGAAAUCGCUGCGUUUGUUACAAGCAGCAGAGGACGGACCCGGCCAUGGCGUCUCAGCGGUGGUUUGUCUGGCUGCUGAUGAGGACAAGCAGGCCGCGGGGCCGCCAUCUUUAAAAUCGCUGCGUUUGUUACAAGAGCAGCAGAAGGCCACCCGACCACGGCAUCGCAGCGAUGGUUUGUUUGGGUGCUGGCGUCCCUGAAAUAUGGGGGAAAAAUGGCGUCUGGAGCCAGCAGUUGAUCGAUUAUGGAUAAACUACAAUCAAGCUGAGGAUUCCCUGCAAGGUGCCUGGCGGAUCCGCCCAACCCAUCAAAGGUUUGUUAAGUCAAAGAACUGUUCCAAUGGCGGGUCCAGAAGACAUCUCAAAGUAAGAGCUGCUGCUGGGUUUGAUGCUGAAGCGUUUGGCUAUGCUGGUUUGUUUUGAUUCUCUGCUGAGAAUCUAUGCGCUGAGAAGGAUUCUGCUGUUGAAAAUCCUUCUGUCUUGGGUCUUUUUGCUGUUUACUGCGGUGGUCAUGUGACCUGGGAAGGUUUAGGUGUAACUAGCAUGUUGGAAUCUGAAGUUCAUGGCUGAAAGUCAGUUGUGAUGUGAAAGAUGGCUGCCAAAGAUAUGGCAACAUUUUAGAGGAUGCAGGAAGUGAUUCAGCUUAGGCAUAAUAAAUAACACCAUCAUAAUCCUUGAUAACAUACCUGCAUAUUAUUAGUAAUAAUUUAAUGUGGCUAUGUUGACAUUAAUAUAAUUAUCUUUUCUGUGAAUAUUAUCAAAUAUACUUUUGGGUGAAAAUAAGGUCUUUUACAUUUCUACAUACAUUGUUUUUAUUUUUUGUAUCUACUUAAUAUUUAGUUUGAAAUCUAAUCUAAAUAUUCUUAAAACGGCGUCCAUACUGUAAUAAUCUAAUAGCUCAACAAAUUUUAUUCGCGUUCAACAACAAUGUAAACGUGAAAAUCGAUUUAUUUCUGCGUCGACUCGGCGGACAGAUUCAUUUCAUUUCGUCUGGACUGCGACGGUCAACAGAGAUCUGCUGGAGCUGCAGGUCAGAGGUCAGAGGUGAGGUUUACACAGUCUAAUCCACCACCUCUAAUUUGCAGGUUUAAAUCUGAGAUUAACUCAGGUUUCCUUCCAGAGAUGAUCCAGUUGGACCCGUCUUUCAGUGUUAAGUUUGUUUUUAACCCAGUUUUCCUCCUAGACUAAGCUGCUGGAUGACCUGUUGGUUCACCAACCGUUUCUUUUCUCCCUUUAGCUUUUAAAAUCACACAAACUGUUUCUCUUUAGAUGAAGCCACCAGAGGACCUUCUGCUGCAGCCAACUCUUUUCUCCUAUAGGAUCACUCCUGGAUCCUCUUUUUCUUUUUCUGUCUUUCUCUUUAUUCUAUCUUUUCAAUCCCCGGGGGUCGUGACAGAUGGCCUUUCUUAUAGAGCCAACUUCUGGUUCUGCUGGAGGGUUCUUCCUGUUAAAGGGAAGAUUUUCCUCUCCACUGUCACUGCAUGCAUCCUCAAUAUGAGGUAUUGCUUUAGCUUACUCAACUUUUAACCAAUGUUUGAUAACUGCAGUUUUCUUUUUAAAUUUUCUUUGUUUUUUUGAAAGUCUUCUUGUUAAAGGGAUGCUUGUCUUCUCCACUGUCACCACUUGAAUCCUCGAUGUGUCUUACGGUGACGGAGACUGGUUUUGAGCUCAUGGUUGAGAGUUUAAGGUCUUGUCAACACCACAUGGAUGUGGACUGAGGGGAUUUAGAAGCCAGUCAGCAGUUUUUGUUGAGAUGGAGACUGGAAACACCAAAUGGCCUCAGACUGGUAGUUAAUGUUGGUAUCAAGAUGGGCACUAUGGUAUUGGACUCUGAACCCAACAAAAGGAAAUGUUGCGUGCUACUUCUUGAAGCCACUUGUCAAGGCUUUGAAGUUGCCGGAUGAGUUAAAGGAAAUUGGUAACAAAGGAAUACAACGAAACGGUAAAUCCAUUCCCUGCAGGAAAAACACGGUAGGUUAUAUGAGAGGAAGAUGUUCUGAUCUUGGGUACAGCAACCAGAACAGAUCUUAUAUUCUGUAGUCUGUGAUCAAAUAUGUGUAAUUCAUUCUAAAAGGUCACCUAUUGAAAGUCAAGAACAAAGUGUAAAGGUGUGUGAACAACCGCAGGAUGACGGAAGGAUAAUACCCAGUCUAAAGACCUUCAUCUCCCCUUCUCUGAUGGCUGACCUUAGUGACCCUACCGUCGGGCUCAGCAGUUUUCCUCAAGAAAUGCUACAGAAUCCUUCUCGAUCAUCUUGUUUUCGUCUCUGGCUUCACCCUUCAUCGCCUCCCAAGGAUGGACGGACGGACGGAAAAGCCCUUCAUCGCCUCCCAAGGAUGGACGGACGGACGGACGAAAAAGCCCAUCAUCGCCUCCCACUGAUGGAUGACCUCAGUGACCCCAUCACCAGACUCGGCAGGUUUCCUGGAAGAAACCCUAGAAGUGUUCCCAGAUGAGCAGGUAAGGCAGAUGCUCCCUGAUCCGGUUCUUCCCGAUCAUCUUGUUUUCGUCACUGAUUUCACCCUUCAUCACCUCCCAAGGAUGGACGGAUGGAUGGAAAAGCCCUUCAUCGCCUCCCAAGGAUGGACGGACGGAUGGAAAAGCCCUUCAUCGCCU